UACAGAGGGGGCAAGCGUUAUUCGGAAUUAUUGGGCGUAAAGGGCGCGUAGGCGGUUUGGCAAGUGGAAGGUGAAAUCCCUCGGCUCAACUGAGGAACUGCCUUCCAAACUGCUUUGCUUGAGUCCGGGAGAGGUCAGUGGAAUUCCCAGUGUAGCGGUGAAAUGCGUAGAUAUUGGGAGGAACACCAGUGGCGAAGGCGACUGACUGGACCGGUACUGACGCUGAGGCGCGAAAGCGUGGGGAGCAAACGGG
rnacentral:rRNA from 1 species